UUUCCGUAGGGGUGACCUGCGGAAGGAUCAUUACCGAGUGAGGGCCCUCUGGGUCCAACCUCCCACCCGUGUUUAUUUUACCUUGUUGCUUCGGCGGGCCCGCCUUAACUGGCCGCCGGGGGGCUUACGCCCCCGGGCCCGCGCCCGCCGAAGACACCCUCGAACUCUGUCUGAAGAUUGUAGUCUGAGUGAAAAUAUAAAUUAUUUAAAACUUUCAACAACGGAUCUCUUGGUUCCGGCAUCGAUGAAGAACGCAGCGAAAUGCGAUACGUAAUGUGAAUUGCAAAUUCAGUGAAUCAUCGAGUCUUUGAACGCACAUUGCGCCCCCUGGUAUUCCGGGGGGCAUGCCUGUCCGAGCGUCAUUGCUGCCCUCAAGCACGGCUUGUGUGUUGGGCCCCGUCCUCCGAUCCCGGGGGACGGGCCCGAAAGGCAGCGGCGGCACCGCGUCCGGUCCUCGAGCGUAUGGGGCUUUGUCACCCGCUCUGUAGGCCCGGCCGGCGCUUGCCGAUCAACCCAAAUUUUUAUCCAGGUUGACCUCGGAUCAGGUAGGGAUACCCGCUGAACUUAAGCAUAUCAAUAAACGAA
rnacentral:rRNA from 1 species